CCUGAGGAGGAAGCCACGGCUAACUACGUGCCAGCAGCCGCGGUAAUACGUAGGUGGCAAGCGUUGUCCGGAUUUACUGGGCGUAGGGAGCGUAUCAGGAUUAGAUACCCUGGUAGUCGCCGUAAACGAUGUCGACUUGGAGGCCCGAGGCGUGGCUUCCGGAGCUAACGCGUAAGUCGACCGCCUGGGGAGUACGGCCGCAAGGUUAAAACUCAAAUGAAUUAACGGGGGCCGCACAAGCGGUGGAGCAUGUGGUUUAAUUCGAUGCAACGCGAAGAACCUUACCUACUCUUGCAUCCAGAGAAUCAGAGAUGGAUUGGUGCCUUCGGGAACUCUGAGACAGGUGCUGCAUGGCUGUCGUCAGCUCGUGUUGUGAAAUGUUGGGUUAAGUCCCGCAACGAGCGCAACCCUUAUCCUUUGUUGCCAGCGGUUCGGCCGGGAACUCAAAGGAGACUGCCAGUGAUAAACUGGAGGAAGGUG
rnacentral:rRNA from 1 species